UACGAAGGGUGCAAGCGUUACUCGGAAUUACUGGGCGUAAAGCGUGCGUAGGUGGUUUGUUAAGUCUGAUGUGAAAUCCCCGGGCUCAACCUGGGAAUGGCAUUGGAUACUGGCAGGCUAGAGUGCGGUAGAGGGUGGUGGAAUUCCCGGUGUAGCAGUGAAAUGCGUAGAGAUCGGGAGGAACAUCUGUGGCGAAGGCGGCCACCUGGACCAGCACUGACACUGAGGCACGAAAGCGUGGGGAUCAAACAGG
rnacentral:rRNA from 1 species